rnacentral:rRNA from 1 species
UGACGGUACCUUAGGAGGAAGCCCCGGCUAACUACGUGCCAGCAGCCGCGGUAAUACGUAGGGGGCAAGCGUUGUCCGGAAUGACUGGGCGUAAAGGGCGUGUAGGCGGCCUGUUAAGUUAGAAGUGAAAAUCCAGAUUUCAAGUUUGGAACUGCUUUUAAUACUGAUGGGCUUGAGUGCAGAAGAGGUAAGUGGAAUUCCCAGUGUAGCGGUGAAAUGCGUAGAGAUUGGGAGGAACACCAGUGGCGAAGGCGACUUACUGGGCUGUAACUGACGCUGAGGCGCGAAAGCGUGGGGAGCAAACAGGAUUAGAUACCCUG